UUUAUUGGAGAGUUUGAUCCUGGCUCAGGAUGAACGCUGGCGGCGUGCCUAAUACAUGCAAGUCGAGCGAAUGGAUUAAGAGCUUGCUCUUAUGAAGUUAGCGGCGGACGGGUGAGUAACACGUGGGUAACCUGCCCAUAAGACUGGGAUAACUCCGGGAAACCGGGGCUAAUACCGGAUAACAUUUUGAACCGCAUGGUUCGAAAUUGAAAGGCGGCUUCGGCUGUCACUUAUGGAUGGACCCGCGUCGCAUUAGCUAGUUGGUGAGGUAACGGCUCACCAAGGCAACGAUGCGUAGCCGACCUGAGAGGGUGAUCGGCC
rnacentral:rRNA from 1 species